GUUAAGUUUUUACUUUUAUCCGACUGUCCUUUCAGCGGAAGUAUACUGAAAAUAAAUAGACACAAAUUCCAAAGCUAGUUGACGCGUUUUUUUUGUUCUGAAGCACUUGUAACGGCGUAGGAUGAUAUACUUUAGACACUCACUAUAGCUUAGACUUCAGAUAUAAAUAGACACAAAUUCCCAAGCUCCCGCUUCUGCUAGCAAAUGCAGACUGUGUUUGCGUCAAAUUCUGCAGAUCAAACAUUCUCUUUUCUCUUUUAUAGUUUUUGAGAGAGAGAGAGAGAGAGAAUUGUUGAAUACUACAUACCGAUACAAAAAUGGAGUUGUUACGGAAGGAAUUAGAAGUGGAGCACAAGAACUCGUCGUCGGAGGCUUUGCGAAGAUGGAGAUACGCCGUCUCCGUCGUCACAAAUCCCCGCCGCCGUUUCCGCUUCGUCUCCGAUCUCGCCAAACGCUCUGAGGCCGAGAAAAAAAGCCGCAAUGUCCAGGAAAAGAUACAAGCUGCUCUUCACUGUCAAAAAGAAGCAUUGCAGUUCAUUGCUGCUGGUGGUCAACCUGAAUACAAGUUACCAGAAGAGGAUACAGAAGCAAGUUUUGGCAUUCGCCCAGAUGAACUUGCAUCAAUUGUUGAUGACCAAGAUAUUGAGAGCUUGAAAAUCCAUGGUGGAGUUGAGGGGAUUGCGAGGAAAAUCCAUGUCUCAUUGAAUGGAGGUGUCAACACUAAGGAUUUACCUACUAGGCAAAAGAAUUAUGGAUUCAACUGUUUUACAGAGAAACCUUCCAAAAUUUUUUUGAUGCUUGUGUGGAAAUCAUUACAGGACUUUUCACCAAUCAUUCCUGUGCUCAGUGCCAUGGUUUCUAUAGGUUUAGGAAUUCCCACUGAAGGGUGGCCUAAAGGCAUAUAUGAUGGUUUGGGUGGCUUUGUUGGUAUGUUCCUAGUAAUCAUGGUUACAGCCAUCUGUGAGUACAAGCAAUCCUUGCAGUUCAUGGAUUUAGAUAGGGAGAAGAAAAAGAUUUUUAUCCAGGUAACUAGGGAUGGGAAGAGAGAAAAAGUUUCUAUAUAUGAUUUGGUUGUUGGAGAUAUUGUUCACUUGUCAAUUGGUGAUCAAGUUCCAGCAGAUGGGAUUUAUAUAUCAGGAUACAGUUUGUUGAUUGAUAAAUCAAGCUUGUCAGGUGAGAACGAGCCAGCAAAUGUAAAUGAGGAGAACCCCUUUCUUUUUUCAGGAAGUAAAGUGCAAGAUGGUUUAGGAAAGAUGUUGGUAACAACAGUUGGUAUGAGAACCAAAUGGGGAAAAUUGACGGAAACUCUAAAUGAGAGAAGAAAAGACAAGACCCCACUGCAGGUAAAGCUAUACAGUGUUGCUUCAAUUAUCGAAAAAAUUGGCCUGGCUUUUUCUGUGCUGACAUUUUUGGUACUUAUAGUGAGAUAUCUGGUUGUAAAAGCUCUUAACUAUGAGUUCACAGAGUGGUCGUCAGGUGAUGCACUGACAAUUGUGAUUUGCUUUGCUACUGCAGUAAGCAUUUUGGACGUUGCAAUCCCUGAAGCAUUUCCAUUAGCAGUAACUUUUAGCCUUGAUUUUGCAACGAGGAAAUUAAAGGAAGAAGGGGCACUUGUGAGGCAUCUCUCUGCGUGUGAGACAAUGGGCUCUGCUAGUUGCAUAUGCACGGAUAAGACGGGGACAUUGACCACAAAUGAUAUGGUAGUGGACAAAGUAUGGAUAUCUGAAAAAUCUAUAGAUGUAAAAGGUAAUGCAAGUGAGGUGUUGAAAUCAGAAAUAUCUGAAAGAGUUUUAGGUAUCCUAUUGCAGGCUAUAUUUCAAAAUACUGGCUCCGAAGUUGUUAACGCUGAUAAUGGAAAGAACUCCAUUUUGGGAACACCAACAGAAUCAGCAUUGUUAAAAUUUGGCUUGCUUUUGGGUGAUGAUUUUGAUGCCCAGCAUAGAGAGCUCAAGAUUCUUAAGGUUAAGCCUUUUAAUUCAGUUAGAAAGAAGAUGUCUGUGCUUGCAGUUCUUCCUGAUGGAAGGGUACGUGCAUAUUGCAAAGGUGAAUCUGAAAUUAUAUUAAGAAUGUGUGACAAAAUUGUUGAUUGCAAUGGAGAGCCUGUUUUUCUUCCUGAAGAACAGGUAAAGAAGAUCACAGAUGUCAUAAAUGGCUUUGCAUCUAGAUCUCUGAGAACUCUUUGCUUGGCUUUUAAAGAUGUUUCUGACACUUCCAUCGAGAACAGCAUCCCUGAUAGUGGCUAUACAUUGAUUGCAGUUGUUGGAAUCAAGGAUCCUGUGCGCCCUGGUGUCAAGGAUGCAGUUCUAACUUGUUUAGCUGCUGGAAUAACUGUUUGUAUGGUCACUGGGGACAAUAUACAUACUGCUAAGGCCAUUGCUAGAGAAUGUGGUAUCCUCACAGAGGAUGGAGUGGCCAUAGAAGGACCAGAAUUCCGUAGCAUGUCCCCAGAGCAGAUGAAGGACAUCAUCCCAAGAAUUAAGGUAAUGGCUCGGUCUUUGCCGUCAGACAAGCAUACCUUGGUGACCCAUUUGAGGAAGACGUUUGGUGAGGUUGUUGCAGCAUCUACUGGUGAUGGGACCAAUGAUGGUCCUGCUUUUCAUGAGUCAGGCAUUGGACUUGCUAUGGACAUUGCAGGAACACAGGUUGCAAAAGAUAGUGCUGAUGUCAUUAUAUUGGAUGAAAACUUUAUGACUAUUGUGAAUGUGGUCAGAUGGGGACGUGCAGUUUAUAUAAACAAUCAAAAAUUCUUGCAAUUCCAGCUAACUGUCAUUGUUGUUGCUCUGGUGCUCCAUUUUGCUUCUGCAUGCAUUUCUGGAUCUACCCCCCUAACGGCUGUGCAGUUGCUUUGGGUCAACUUUAUGGACACUGUUGGUGCACUUGCACUGGCUACAGAACCUCCAAAUGAUGAGCUUAUGAAAAGGCCCCCAGUUCGUAGGGGUGUGAGUUUCAUCACGAAGGCCAUGUGGAGGAAUAUUAUUGGUCAUAGUGUAUAUCAACUUGCUGUCCUUGCAAUUCUCAAUGUUGAUGGGAAGCGGCUGCUAAACCUUGGUGGUUCAGAUGCAAGUGAUGUUCUCAACACACUGAUAUUCAACUCGUUUGUAUUUUGCCAGGUGUUUAAUAAUAUAAACAGCCGGGAAAUAGAGAAGAUAAACAUAUUCCGUGGCAUGUUUGAUAGCUGGAUAUUCCUAGGUGUCAUGGUUGGCACAGUGGCUUUCCAAGUAAUCAUGGUCGAGUUUCUAGGCGAUUUUGCAAGCACGGUGCCACUGAGCUGGCAAUUAUGGUUACUCAGUGUGUUACUUGGAUCAGUUAGCUUGCUGGUUGCUGUCAUCCUAAAAUGCAUCCCAGUUGAGAGAUGCAGCUAAACACCAUGAUGUUUAUGGUGAUAACCUGGCUUGAGAAGGGGAAAGAGAAGGCUUUUAAUUUUUUUUUUCCCUUUUUCUGAAGCAACUCUAGAGGUAAACUGACUUUCGUAAAUAAUUUUGGUGCUAACUUAUAGAAUGGCUCGUCACGGUAGAAAAGAAAAGAACAGGGGUAGAAUUAGAAAGAAGUUUGGUGACCGGUUUUUCUGUAGGUCAUGUAUUUUUUGAGUAAUUAUAGAA